rnacentral:tRNA from 1 species
GCCAUGGUGGCAAAAUGGUUAAGCAUUCAGCUGCUAAUUGAAAGAUCGGAGGUUCAAACCCACUAGUGGCU